rnacentral:rRNA from 1 species
AACGAACGCUGGCGGCGUGCUUAACACAUGCAAGUCGAACGCGAAAGGGGCUUCGGUCCCGAGUAGAGUGGCGCACGGGUGAGUAACGCGUAAGUAAUCUACCCCCGCAUUCGGAAUAACUCGUCGAAAGGUGAGCUAAUACCGGAUACGUUUAUCUUGAUGCGAAUGAUGAUAAAGAAAGGUGGCCUCUUCAUGAAAGCUACUGCGCAGGGAUGAGCUUGCGUACCAUUAGCUAGUUGGUAGGGUAAUGGCCUACCAAGGCGACGAUGGUUAGCGGGUCUGAGAGGAUGAUCCGCCACACUGGAACUGGAACACGGACCAGACUCCUACGGGAGGCAGCAGUGAGGAAUAUUGCGCAAUGGGGCAACCCUGACGCAGCGACGCCGCGUGGAGGAUGACGGUCUUCGGAUUGUAAACUCCUGUCAUGAAAGAACAAGCGGAGCGGGUGAACAGCCCGCCGAGUUGAUAGUAUUUCAAGAGGAAGGGACGGCUAACUUCGUGCCAGCCGCCGCCGUAAAAC